GACAGAGGGGGCAAGCGUUGCUCGGAAUUACUGGGCGUAAAGGGCGCGUAGGCGGAAUGGCAAGUCGGUCGUGAAAUCCUUCGGCUCAACCGAAGAACGUCGAUCGAAACUGCCGUUCUUGAGGAUUGCAGAGGAGACUGGAAUUCCCGGUGUAGCGGUGAAAUGCGUAGAGAUCCGGAGGAACCCCAGAGGCGAAGGCGGCGCUCUGGCUCGCAACUGACGCUCAGACACGACAGCAUGGGGAGCGAACGGG
rnacentral:rRNA from 1 species